UCGUUCAAAAUUUCCUUUCUUUGCAGCCCAUUGAAGGACAAGCUUUCGUGGCGUUUUGCUGCCAGUGCGUCAUCUUCGCGAAGAAGAUGAGCCUGCAGAAACCCACUAAAUUCUCGGGAUGAACCGUGAAAGCCAUCUUGGCUAAGCAAGAUGCACUUCAGGUUUGGCACUACUGGCCGUGAUUUGUGGCACAGUCCCCUCACUACCACUCCACAUCCGGCGCUCGGACACAAGGGCACAACGGAUUACCCCUUGGUCGUCUCAUCGGAUGCCAGUGCAGCUAUGAACCGCCAGCAUAAACAUAACAGGUUCGCCAUUCCAUCACUUCGUUCUCGCCGUAAGCAUCCGGGUCUUUGGGUUGAUCCGAUCGUGAGCUCCGAAGGUACAUUAACCCUUCACCAACUCCCGUGGACUGCCAACCCUCGGUCGGAUUUCUUACGUAAAUCCGAAGUGUGGAAUGUAACUACAAAUAAA